rnacentral:lncRNA from 1 species
CUUCACUCGAGGGAUCAUUAAGAGGACAAAGAAUCAAGGUGAACCCAUCUCAUGCUCACAAAUGUUUGGGGGGCCGCAAUGGGCCAAGAGCCUGAGGUUCCACGGUAAACAUGGAUAGUGUAUAUUGGAGAUCAAGUCUACUAGAUCAUGUUUGUAUCCAUGAAAAAUUAAGAGAAAAGGAGCCACAUUUUGAGUUUAGAUUAUGGAUAAAGGAACUUAGGAAACCAGUUAUUGAAGAUGAGUAGUGCACUGUCUGCAGAAGAAGUUCCUGUACUACUACUCAGCAUGAGUAGAAGAUCGAAGAACUCUCCCCUAAGCCAGACUUGAAAAGCUUUCAUCUAUCUUAUUACCUUUGUGCAAUGGGAGAAUUGGGGGAGGAUAGAGCAAAGCAUUAAAAAAUAAAUUAUGG